GCACUGGAAGAGCAGAAGAAGUAGGAUUGCAGUGGCACCACCCACCCUCUCUCGCUCGCCGAUUCCUAUUCGGUUUAGUGUGCUCUAAUAAGCCCAGAAAUCUCAACACUCAGACAGAGACAAAUUGUAGAAACAUAUAAGAAAGCAAAUAUAGGAUCCCCAACAUCUUACAUGGAACUUGGUAGUAUCAAUGGGUGGACUUCUUCUUAUCUGCAUAAUUUUCGUAAAAAAAUAAUCAAAUUACUUAAACUGAAACGAUAAAGAACAACUUUGAAACCAAAACGUACGGAUGAUUUCUUGCCGCUAGAUUUCCAAGGAAGCAAAAUCUUCAAACUGUCCUGGAUAUAUAAAAAAAAUAAAAAGAAGAAGAAGUGGAGUGGUUGUGUGCAGAGAGACGAAGAGGGUUAAAACUGAUCCCAAUCAGAACAACCUGUAUGGGAAAAGAAGCAAACAGAGUUUCACCUUUCCCUCGCUAAAAUGCUUCCUCUCUUUUCUCCUUCUCCUUCUCUCCAACCCAAAACUGUAAAACACUUCCAGUAAAAUCAAAUUAAAGAAUCAAACCCAGGAACAAAAUCACAAAAAAAAUGAGAGAAAUUCGAAAGGGUAAUGGAACCCUAGUUUUUUAAAUUGGGAAGUUGGGUACCUGGAGAAGAUGGAAAUGAAGGCGACGGUUUAAGUCACAAAUAGCUUAAUCGAAGCAAGAUCCAGAUGAACAACAAAUGGGUAACUGAGAUAGAGCGAGAGGAAGAUCGGAGCUUACAUGAAAGUUGCUGGUGCGGUUGGAUGCUGCUCCCUUUUCAGAGCUUCGACUCUGGCAAUUGAAAUCAAAUACAAAUUAUCAUCUCUUUGGGUUAUUUCUCCUAUUAAUACAAUAAAUACAAAAGCCUGUACUGAUGAAACAAAUAAAAAUAAAUAAAAAAAUUGAAAAACCAAAAAGUGUAUACCUCGGGAUUAAAUCGGUGGUGGUUUGGAGAGGAUAGAUAGUUAGAUGGGAGGAGCUAGUGACAGGAGGUUCGGCUGGCGGUGGCCGCGGAGGAGGGAGAAAGAGAGGUGGCUGCGGAGGAGGGAGAGAGAGAGAGUUAGUGAGAGACGGAUCCAGAUUCCAGAAAACAGGAUCCCGUAGUGGGUUUUAAUUCUAUCGGCAUGGCAAGAUAAUGGGGUUUCAGUUCGCAAGAUAAUGGGUUUCAGUUUUUGCACGGAAGUUUUUUCCUUUUUUAUUUUUCGUGUUUUUUUCCCUUUUUUUUCGAAAACUGCCGAACGUGGUUGAAGUUGUGUCUUCC
rnacentral:lncRNA from 1 species